rnacentral:rRNA from 1 species
AUUGAACGCUGGCGGCAGGCCUAACACAUGCAAGUCGAGCGGAUGAAGAGGGCUUGCUCUCUGAUUCAGCGGCGGACGGGUGAGUAAUGCCUAGGAAUCUGCCUGGUAGUGGGGGACAACGUUUCGAAAGGAACGCUAAUACCGCAUACGUCCUACGGGAGAAAGCAGGGGACCUUCGGGCCUUGCGCUAUCAGAUGAGCCUAGGUCGGAUUAGCUAGUUGGUGAGGUAAUGGCUCACCAAGGCGACGGUCCGUAACUGGUCUGAGAGGAUGACCAGUCACACUGGAACUGAGACGCGGUCCCGACUCCUACGGGAGGCAGCAGGGGGGAAUAUUGGACAAUGGGCGAAAGCCUGAUCCAGCCAUGCCGCGUGUGUGAAGAAGGUCUUCGGAUUGUAAAGCACUUUAAGUUGGGAGGAAGGGCAGUAAGUUAAUACCUUGCUGUUUUGACGUUACCGACAGAAUAAGCACCGGCUAACUCUGUGCCAGCCGCCGCCGUAA